ensembl:lncRNA
GAGAAAGUCAGUCAGCCUUCGCUGGUGAGGCACACAUGGGACAAGACAAUUUCCUCGCAGUAUACAGAACUCAGAGCCAUGAAGGACACAUGGUCGGGGGCGCCGCUGUUGCAACGGUCAUGACGCCAUAGCCAGUAUUUAUGGCUUCCUUCCUCCUUCCUGAAUCCCACGUUCCCUCUGCCUCCAGCCAGUACUGCAGCUGCUCAGGAGACUUUACCAGCCUCAGUUUAUCUUCCGGGUCCCUUGGACUGCAAGGAGAUAAAACCAGUCAAUCCUAAAGGAAACCAACCCUGAAUAUUCAUGAGAAGGACUGAUGCGGAAGCUGAAACUCCAACACUUUGGCCACUUGAUGUGACGAGCUGACUCACUGGAAGAGACCCUGAUGCUGGGAAAGAUUGAAGGCAGGAAGAGAAAAAGUGACAGAUGACAAGGUGGUUGGAUGGCAUCAUGGACUCAAUGGAUAUGAGCUUGAGCAAACUGGGAGACAGUGAAGAACAGGGAAGCCUGGAGUGCUGCAGUUCACGGGGUCAGAAAGAGGCAUACAAGACUGAGCAACUGAACACCACCACCAUCAUCAAUCUUCUGAGUUAAUAACUUUUCUUAUCUCCCUGAAGAUAAUCAUUAAAG